CCCUUAGAUGUUCUGGGCCGCACGCGUGCUACACUGAGUGGAUCAGCGGGUCAGGUUGCGCGAAAGUGUUUCCUAAUCUUUAAAUCCGCUCGUGAUGGGGAUUGACGGUUGCAAUUUUCCGUCAUGAACGAGGAAUACCUUGUAAGCGCGGGUCAUCAUCCCGCGCUGAAUACGUCCCUGCCCUUUAUACACACCGCCCGUCGCUCCUACCGAUUGAGUGGUCCGGUGAGGCUUUGGGAUCUGAGCGGAAAGAGCGUUUCGCUGUUUCUGCCCGGAAAACUCAGUCGAACCUUAUCAUUUAGAGGAAGGAGAAGUCGUAACA
rnacentral:rRNA from 1 species